GGGAGGGCGCUUACCACUUUGUGAUUCAUGACUGGGGUGAAGUCGUAACAAGGUAACCGUAGGGGAACCUGCGGUUGGAUCACCUCCUUACCUUAAAGAA
rnacentral:rRNA from 7 species